rnacentral:pre_miRNA from 1 species
UAUUGCACAAAUUGUGUUCAUCUAUUAAGGUUGAAAUAAGAUGAAUGGAUUCGUGCAAUAAU